rnacentral:misc_RNA from 1 species
GUAGGUGAACCUGCGGAAGGAUCAUUAACACGUAUCCACGUAUCAACCAUCUGUGAACUGUUCGUCCCUGUGGGGGGAUCAGAGUGGUGCAAAAAUUUCAUGACUUCUUCAAAACAGUGGGGUAUUCUCCGAAAGGGUUUACCAAGUCGUGCUUUGCAUCUGUCCUCUUCGGAGGGCACCUCUGAUUUCCUUGCAGCAUUUUUAAAUUGCAAAAUUUAUUUUGUCACUGUUUUUUUUCUUCAUUAACUUUUAUUAACCCCAUGUACCUUUCAAUAGUACUGAAAACUUUUUCUUUUUCCUUUCUUUCGAGAAAGGGACUGAAAAUACAUACGAAACGCUGAACAACUCUUAACAACGGAUAUCUUGGUUCUC